UUUCGUUCCCUUUUCAACAACCUGAUUAGUCGGGAUUUAUUUCCUAAUUCCGUGUUUCCGUUUUUUUAGCCGAAUCAUGAACUUAGACUUUUUUAUCACAAAUGCAAAUCAAUCAUAAGAUCGUUGCCAAGUUUACGAGUCGUGCGAAACACUUUAUAAACCGAACCAUCAUCACGGUUUUCACCCCACUCAAUUCUGUUCGAACACCCUUUCACCCUAUCUGUUUCGUUAACUCACUGGAGUAACCGCAAGUCGCCGGAGAAGAACCAAACGCGGCCGGAGUAUUAAGUCCGAACUCGACUCGACCCACUGUGUUCGGAUAAACAUAUCCAGUUCGUUCUCUUGGAUUAUUCCCCAAUCUUUACUCGUGCGUUAUUACGAGAAAUCUUCAUACGCAACCAACGUUGAUUGUUCAAGAUUCAAGAAAACAAGUUAGGAUGGCUUUAGAAACCCAUUUUAGUAAUUAAUUAAUGUUGAAUUUAUGUUUGGUAUUUGAGACUUGUAAUACUCUUCUAGUUUCAAUAAAAUGAUUUAAAUUCAUAUUGUCA